rnacentral:rRNA from 1 species
GACGAACGCUGGCGGCGUGCUUAACACAUGCAAGUCGAACGGAAGGGCCCUGCUUUUGUGGGGUGCUCGAGUGGCGAACGGGUGAGUAACACGUGAGUAACCUGCCCUUGACUUUGGGAUAACUUCAGGAAACUGGGGCUAAUACCGGAUAGGAGCUCCUGCUGCAUGGUGGGGGUUGGAAAGUUUCGGCGGUGGGGGAUGGACUCGCGGCUUAUCAGCUUGUUGGUGGGGUAGUGGCUUACCAAGGCUUUGACGGGUAGCCGGCCUGAGAGGGUGACCGGCCACAUUGGGACUGAGAUACGGCCCAGACUCCUACGGGAGGCAGCAGUGGGGAAUAUUGCACAAUGGGCGGAAGCCUGAUGCAGCAACGCCGCGUGCGGGAUUAUGGCCUUCGGGUUGUAAACCGCUUUCGCCUGUGACGAAGCGUGAGUGACGGUAAUGGGUAAAGAAGCACCGGCUAACUACGUG